GAUGAACGCUGGCGGCGUGCCUAAUACAUGCAAGUCGAGCGAACGGACGAGAAGCUUGCUUCUCUGAUGUUAGCGGCGGACGGGUGAGUAACACGUGGAUAACCUACCUAUAAGACUGGGAUAACUUCGGGAAACCGGAGCUAAUACCGGAUAAUAUUUUGAACCGCAUGGUUCAAAAGUGAAAGACGGUCUUGCUGUCCCUUAUAGAUGGAUCCGCGCUGCAUUAGCUAGUUGGUACGGUAACGGCUUACCAAGGCAACGAUGCAUAGCCGACCUGAGAGGAUGAUCGGCCACACUGGAACUGAGACACGGUCCAGACUCCUACGGGAGGCAGCAGUAGGGAAUCUUCCGCAAAGGGCGAAAGCCUGACGGAGCAACGCCGCGUGAGUGAUGAAGGUCUUCGGAUCGUAAAACUCUGUUAUUAGGGAAGAACAUAUGUGUAAGUAACUGUGCACAUCUUGACGGUACCUAAUCAGAAAGCCACGGCUAACUACGUG
rnacentral:rRNA from 1 species